rnacentral:lncRNA from 1 species
GGGAGGUGGAACCGGGCCGAUCCCAACACGGUGUUGAGGGUGCUGUGCCACCGGGACGACGAGAUGGCCAACGAGUUCCUGAAGCGAACGUUUCAGCUGGCCAAGCGGCGGUGAAAGAACAUCACAGGUGAUGGCCUGCGCAGUUUGUAUCAUACGUUAACAGUGGCUGCUAUGGUUUCUGUGAGCAUGUCUUUUUCCUUUUUCUUCUUUUCUAUGUUUGAAUGAACUAAACAGUACUCAUUUACAAAGUUAAUACUAGAAAUCAAAAGUAUAAAAAGCGUAGUGAUUCAUGGCAACCUAACCAUCUUCAGUCUUUCAUAUUUCUUUAGGUAGAUCUUUCAGCUCUUAGAACUUCUCCCAGCUUUCAGGUCUACGUAUCUUUAGUCCUUCAUGUUUCUUUUGGUUUUGGCUUCUGUAAUCUUAUUUCUUAGAGAUGUCUUGUGGAUUUGAUGUCCUAAUCUAAAUCUGCACCCAACCUUUUAGGUCUACAUAUCUUCAGUCUUUCAUCAGUCAGCUGCUACUAAUAAUUUGUGCCAAUUCUUCUGUUACCCCAAAACAUAAUGCAAGUCAGCUUAUAUUUUAGUGCUGGAGUUUUGCAUGAGCCAAUGAACAAAAAAGAUUACCAAACAAGUAAUGUAGAUGGUCAUAAACCAGUAAAUCUAUAUUCCAGUGAGAUGCCUGCUUGAUGAGUGGAAAGAACUGCAGAUAACACUACAAAACAAGCAUCUGAAGUGCUCAUAAAAGAGGACAGCAAUGUAGUAAAGAAAAAGAACUAUAACCCACUUAGCAUGAUUGAUUGACACAUAACUACAUCUCAAGCAAUUGUGUGGAAGGAAAUACUUUAAUAAAAUGACUGCAAAGACCCUACUAGGUUUUGUUCAUUUUUCCAUAGCCAAGUAUUUCAUACUUCAUAAUGUUUGAUAAUGUGUAUCACAUUUUCUCAUCAUGGUCAUGGUUCGUAACAAGGUUCCGAAAAGGGUUGACAGUGGGUUCAAGAUGACUAUCAAUAGAAAGUUCAACAGCAAGUUCAAGCUAUCAUUCCUCUCUCUCUUUUCUUUGUCAACAGCAAGUUCUUCUUGUCCUCCUCUUUUCCUUCUCUCCCUCAUUCUCUUUGGUUCUUGCCGGGCGCAUGUUCUUCAGGCUGUUGACAGCAGGUUCUUAUCUCCCUCUCCUGUAUCAACAGCAGCUCCUCCUCCACUCUUCUCUCCUUCUCUUUGGUCCAUGCCAGCCGACAUGCCUCGCAAACUGAGACUCAUACCGGUUCGGCCAGGGAUUGGAAUGGUUUCUGGACCGGCAUAAGUUGUUUACAUUAUUUGACGGACAAGAAAGAAAUUAAGAUUAGUUGUUCAUGGCUACAAAGAGAAACAUGACCACAUGAUUACUAUCAAACUUUGUAUGAGGUCAAUGCAUAACAACUCAUGAACAGAUCAGACAAUUUAGGUGAAUGCAUGAUCUGAGAAGGUUAAGGUAAUCGGACAUAACAAGUGUACAAUGAUGGAGAACCAAACAAGAAGAAUACCAAACCAUAGAUCCCAACUAAUUAGGGUUGUCUGAUGAAUGGACUAUUUCAGCCAUUGACCUCAAUGCUAGGCAAAAUCACUAGUCAAACUACGAGCAGUAUAAUUUUGUUUGAUAAAUUCUUAGAUCUUCUUCGUUGCACCGGCAAUUUCAUCAGACUUAGCUUGCAUAGCUGGUACAUUUAGGUAUGGAUGAUUUGAUUUCAAAUACUUCUUUCCAAGACUACAAAUUUUCAUCUUGAAGUGAAGUGUCCAUCUACAGUUGUAAAAUCAAUAUCUCCAAAUUGCGCCAAUCAAGAAGCAGAGUUAGAAUAUUUACCAAUCAAGAAGCAUAAUUAGAUCUACUUAAUGUACACAAGUAUUCUAUGAAAAGUAUUGAGGUGGACCAGAGCACAAAAAGGGUAGCUUCAGUGGAAACCUAAGGGAGUCAAGCAAAAUUCAUCUUUUUUCUCGUGCAAUCGAUUUCCUCCAACCAAGACAUUGAUUCUUCCAAUUUCAAAGGUUUUCAGUAGCAUAAAGGAUCUUCCAUACCCUUUUUCUUGUAACUAUCAUCACGACCGUGUGGAUUAGCAUCAGCCACCAAAAACCCCAACCCUAAACUGAAGUGGGAUUUUUAGUCCUUAGCUGAAGGAGGAGGAGUUCAUAUCCACAUCCCACUUCUUCGGAAACACCCUAAGAUCCUCAAUCCAUUGUUCCACAUCUUUGCUACGCAAAAGCCUGAGAAAAUUACUAAUCAAGAACGUAACUUCCCAAUCCUAAUGCCAGAAUCAAUCACGAGACAGACAAAGAUAGAAUUUCUAGAACUUUAUCGGUCCAAAUUAGGAGAGAAGAAUAGUAUGACAAUCAAGAUGGAAAUAAAGUAACCAUGAAAGAUCCAUUGUAACCAACCAAUGCCAAUCAAAUGGAACCAAAACGAGAGAAAACUCCGUAGUUUUCACUAUUCUCGACCGAAGAGGUAAGAACUUGGAAAAGGUUUCCCAAUCGCUAGCGAAACAAUCAAAUGAAGAAUGAAAAAACAACGCAAAGAACGAAUCGAACGAUCAAAUUGGAUCGGUUUCUCAAAAUUCUUACCGGGACGAUUGAGGACCAACGUCGAUCACAGGGGACGGACGAUACGAAGAAGGCUUCUGGCAGGCAGAAGCCGAGCAAGAGGGAGAAAAGGGGAGGAGUAAUCUUUGAUCGACCGACAAUUUCUUUUUCUUUUUUCUUUUUUAAACUAUUGAUGCGAAAUGAUAUAACAUUUGUAUAAAUAAAAUGUAAUAAAAUUUAUGAUCAGAUGAUUUGUUGUUGUUAUGAUAUUGAUUGGAAUAUUGAAUGUGAUUAUCUAUUUAUCAGCAUUAUAUCUGCUAUAUUUUAUAGACACAAUAACUAAACUAGUGUUCAAGCUGGCCAUAGCACUUGUUUUAUCAUCUCAAUUUAUUAGCUGGUCUUAUUUCUUUCUACUUCGUGUUCAUUGGUAUGCCGAUUGCUGCAUGAGCAGUGAGUGGCUCAAACUCUAAUCACACACUGCGGAGAAUGAUCUGCGCAUAGAUGGAAGAGAAGCAUCGGACAAAGCUCUAUCGAGAAGGUGUAGCUACGAGUUGAGUCUCAUCACCAUCAGGUUUGCGAGCGAGGUACAUGGCAAUUUAGUUGCAAGAGAAGAAGACGGUGGGAGAUCUAAGAAAGGGAAGCGUCAUCAAAAUUCUGGGAGUAGCUCUCUCCGUGUCAUAUCCUCCGAAUCGAGCUCGCCUCGGCUUCGAGGCUUGUUGCCUCCACUGCUGCUCUGCAUUAGCUUCCACAGGAAUUGUCUAAUUGGCAUAGACUGAUGGGCCUCUGUAAGCCUCGUUCUACUCUCUUCUGCAGCCAAUCUCUUCGCCCAGUUCAGUGCAUGCAUCCUUCUCUUUCCCUUGGUUCUUAGGAGAAUCAUCUUUAGCCUAUUCUCUUGAAGCCUCGGUUCACGAUCGUCUAUGUUGCACACUGCAAUCUGAUGCUUGUUUAUACUGCUAAUUCCAGAGCGCGUUGGAGACCAGACAGAUGCACAAGAGGCAUCCGCAACGGUGAGUGGACCACAUUGGUCCUCUUUCCUUGUCCUCUCAACAUCAAUCCAAGUUAAGUGG